ACAUAAACUAGACAAGUCCUUCAUUAAACCCUUUUAGGUGUAGGGGCAGUCGAUUUUACCCGCGGGGUAGGAGUCCAUGAGAAUUUGGGAAUGGAAGUCCUUAGGGCGGUGUGACGAGAAGCAGACGGAGAAGAACCAUGUAAAGGUGAUCUGAGAUACGAACGUGCGACAAGACGUCGGGCGGCAGGAGUUAAAUUGGUCAGUUUUCUGGAUACAGAGUUAGGAGUAGAAUAAGAAUUUAAAGCAGUUGAUGCAGAAUCCACUGAUGUAAUGGUGGUAUUCGUGGAGUGGGAACGAAUAUCGCGCACUCUCAUAGCAUGUAGUCUCUCUCGUCGAGGCCGUUCUGGGAUGUUGAAGUAUGAUUUCGAAGAGGAUCCCACUGCUUGUCCAAAAUUAACAUCAACUAAAGGAUAUCCAUUGACAGAAGCAUCAGUCUCAUUGACAGACGGGGGGACUAUUGGGUCCGUACUAGGUUGAUUGGCUGCUUCUAAAAAAGACUGCGAUAAGCCAGUUGCAUCCGCUUGAAUUUCAGUGCUUUGCUUUUUUAUCUGAGACAGGGAUGAAGAAUGGUUAGUUUCUGGAGUAUACAUUAAGGCAUUCUUUGGCUGGUAGUUCCAAGUUUUAAUACUCUUGUCUUUCUCUUUCCAUGCAAUUGACUUGAUUGCAUCAGAAUUUGAGUAACCAAUAGUUUGAAUGGAGUUAGAUGGCUGUUGUGAAUGGACCCCAAAUCGUCGUUUAUGCUGUUCAGCUCUCAAUCGACUCUCAUCUUCCAUUAGCUCUCCAAAAGAGGCAUUGUCUUCUGAUGUGAACUUAUUUUGAUAGGAAGCAACGCUAAUCGGUUUAUUUUCUCCAUCCAGCUGUGCUUUGGUAAUCUCAUGAAUAGCUAACGAUGGAAGCCUCUUUCUCAAUGGAUCUUCUGAGUUUUUAGCAAUGAGGUAUUUCAAUUUUUCAUCCCUUGACUCAUUUUGUGCAUCAAAACUUCCUACUUCUUCACUUUCGAGCACGACUUCAGCCUUCAGCUUAGGAAGGUCAGGAAAAUAUUGUUGUUGAAUUAUGUAGCUUAAACCCUCGAUGUAGUCAUCUUCUUCAAGUGGAAUUGGUUUCUUGUACGUUUGUUCUUUAUUCACAGGUUUUACUAACUGUUUUUCAUCAUCAUCGAUCUUUUUUGCCAAGGACAUGUAUGCAAGAUGUUGGCAAUUGGUAAUUUCCAGAAGUGUGGUAGGGAUGCCUAGGACACCGACAUGAAAAGCAACUAAACAAGGUUGUGAGGUUUUAGAUGGUUAGCAAAACAAAUUAUUGAAUUAUUUUUCUUUCUCAUUAAGAAGAUAACGAUUGCUCAAUUGCUCAAAUUUGGCUAUUUACCUAUUUACUGUUCUACAGUUAAGGCGUACUUACAAUUACAAGUAAGUUAUGGGGAUUAAACAGCGUCGACCCACUAACUUUCAAAUUGAUUAUUUUAAUUACUCUGUUUUAGUAGAACAUCAGAUAAAAUUAUUUUAUUGAUUUAAAAAAAAAUACUCUGUCAUUGAAAACAUACAUUUCUUUCAUCACAA
rnacentral:lncRNA from 1 species